CCAGGCCAGGGUCUGCCCCUGGGUUCACUGUGCCAGCGCUGCCCCCACCUUCUACUUGAGACAGUGUAGGUAUUUGCAUGAAAAAAAAAUACAGGCAUACACAAGUAUACGUGCGUAUGGACCCGAAGGCUUCUGCAUGUGUACAUAAGCACGUGCGUGUGCAGAUACAUUCACAGUGCCUCUGUUUAUACACGGACACCUAAGAACUUGCGUAUGAGCACACACAGGAAUGUGUCCCCGUAGACGGAUACAUAUAUAGGUAUAUCCACGUGAAGACAUACAGAAGUAUAUGUAAAUGUGCACACACUCUGGCUCUCAGCAUCACCCCUGGGGCUCCCAUUUUCCCCCAGGUUCUCCCUGCUUGGCUCUCUUAUCCCAGAGACUCCCCUGUUGACCCUCUGAUGGACAUGUGUUCUCUUUGCGGGAGGCCCCAUUUUUCGGCCCCGUCUGGCCCAGGACUCGUGGUUGUUCACACUGGGAGUGGCCCCUGGGUGCUCCCAGGGUGGCAAGGAGUGCGCGGGGACGUAACCCUAGGCCAGCGUGGAAUUGUUUUGAAUGCCCUUAAUCGUGAUGUAAAUGGCGUUAUGUGUGCUUUCCCAACUUAUGUUCACCAUCGUGUGAGAGGCAUCUGUGCAGGAGCGCAGCUCGGGUUCGUUUCCAGAGCUGGAGGGGAUCCUACUGAUGAAUGUCAUAAUUCAUCCGUUCUAAGUGAUCCAGUAUGAGAACCGAACAGCAGAGUCACUGAGCGCUGAGUAUCUGAUGCCAGAGGCCUGAGUUCGAAUCUUCAAAACGCUGCUCAUCAGCUGUGUGAUCCUGGGGAAACAAGAAAAAUCAGCAGGGGGCAUCAGCAAGUCCAAGUUCAUCCUCCAUCUCAAUAAUUUCGGCAACUCUGGGCCGGAUACCCGAUUUCAGAAAAGCAAGGGGAGAAAUCAAUUUCUCUAAGCUUGCAGCCAAUAAAAUCUCAGGAGUGGCAAUUUCAUCUUUACCGUGGCCGCCCGUCUCACUAGCAGCGCACUCAACACGAGGGCGGUGGCAGGCGCCCCUGCUGCUCUGGCAAAUGGUGGUGCUGAGCUGACGUGAGAGACAAGACGGUGUACCCAAGCCCGGCCCGCACUCGUUGCCACUGCUGGAAGCCACUUCACGAGCUUCUGUCACCACAGGCUUGUCAAGGGGCCCCUCCGUGAUUGGACGGGAGAGACCCACAGCCCCAGGGAUGAACUCUGAUUGGAUGGACCCAAUCUGCAUGAGCCAUUCCUCCAGGGAUUGGUACCGAGGUGGACGGGCGGCCCAUUUUGGACCAAUGAGAUGAGAGAAGACAUCGGCUGGAGGGUUCUGAGAGGCCCCCUUUGUGAGAGAGAGGCCCUGGAAGCCUCCGGCACCACCUUGUCUCCACGGAAGGCUCCAACCCCGUUGAAGGCAGGGGGGACCAUCCAGGUGACGAUGUUGAGCCCCGUCUGGAGCAGCUCUCCCUCCAGCUGUGGCCACCACUCCGCUCCCUCUGGUGCGAACCUUGUACCUUGAAUUCAGCAGAGCUCCGUGUUUUGCAACUUUAAAGCCUCACUGUUUCUUGCAUCUCAUUUCUUCCUCGGAGCACCCUGUCCCGAGUCAACGAGGGAGCUGCGACCCCUGAUGCUUUCUCACCCGCUGGAUGUCACCUAUCUAGCAAGUGGCCUCAUUUUGCAUUGGACCCACAGGGCUGCUGGCCCCUGGAGUGGCUGCUCCCCAGCCUGGGAGAGAGAGGGCACCUGGUCUGAAGCAGACAAGGCGCGGAAGAUCCAUAUGGGAAUUGCGCAAGGAGUAAUUUUAUAGACAAUUAAAUCUGUAAAGAUUGGCCAAUAUGUGUA